GACGAACGCUGGCGGCGUGCUUAACACAUGCAAGUCGAACGGAAAGGCCCUGCUUUUGUGGGGUGCUCGAGUGGCGAACGGGUGAGUAACACGUGAGUAACCUGCCCUUGACUUUGGGAUAACUUCAGGAAACUGGGGCUAAUACCGGAUAGGAGCUCCUGCUGCAUGGUGGGGGUUGGAAAGUUUCGGCGGUUGGGGAUGGACUCGCGGCUUAUCAGCUUGUUGGUGGGGUAGUGGCUUACCAAGGCUUUGACGGGUAGCCGGCCUGAGAGGGUGACCGGCCACAUUGGGACUGAGAUACGGCCCAGACUCCUACGGGAGGCAGCAGUGGGGAAUAUUGCACAAUGGGUGGAAGCCUGAUGCAGCAACGCCGCGUGCGGGAUGAAGGCCUUCGGGUUGUAAACCGCUUUCGCCUGUGACGAAGCGUGAGUGACGGUAAUGGGUAAAGAAGCACCGGCUAACUACGUG
rnacentral:rRNA from 1 species